rnacentral:rRNA from 1 species
GAGUCGGACCUGCCCAGUGACGUAGUUUAACGGCCGCGGUACUCUGACCGUGCAAAGGUAGCAUAAUCAUUUGCCCUAUAAUUGAGGGCUAGUAUGAAGGGUUUGACAGGAGCUUAACUGUCUCGGCAAAAUUACUUGGAAUUUAUCUUUAAGGUGAAGAGACCUUAAUUAAAUUAAAAGACAAGAAGACCCUAUCGAGCUUUAAAAUAAUAAAAGAACAAAAUUUAAAAGCUAUUUAGUAUUUUUUUUUCUUUUACGAUUUUGGUUGGGGCGACUAAGGAACAUGAGAAGCUUCUUUGGAAAUGCAAUUUUAAAAGUGUGAUCCGUGCUUCGCGAUUAAUUGAAUUAGUUACCGUAGGGAUAACAGCAUAAUCCUCUUUGAGAGCUCUAAUCGAAAAGGGGGUUUGUGACCUCGAUGUUGGACUAGAAUAUCCUGAGAGGUGCAGCCGCCU